rnacentral:rRNA from 1 species
AUUGAACGCUGGCGGCAGGCCUAACACAUGCAAGUCGAGCGGAUGAAGGGAGCUUUCUCCUGUCUUCCGCGGCGGACGGGUGAGUAAUGCCUAGGAAUCUGCCUGGUAGUUGGGGAUAACGUCCGUACACGGGCGCUAAUACCGCAUCCGUCCUGAGGGAGAAAGUGGGGGAUCUUCGGACCUCACGCUAUCAGAUGAGCCUAGGUCGGAUUAGCUAGUUGGUGGGGUAAAGGCCUACCAAGGCGACGAUCCGUAACUGGUCUGAGAGGAUGAUCAGUCACACUGGAACUGAGACACGGUCCAGACUCCUACGGGAGGCAGCAGUGGGGAAUAUUGGACAAUGGGCGAAAGCCUGAUCCAGCCAUGCCGCGUGUGUGAAGAAGGUCUUCGGAUUGUAAAGCACUUUAAGUUGGGAGGAAGGGAAGUAAGUUAAAACCUGGAUGUUUUGACGUUACCAACAGAAUAAGCACCGGCUAACUUCGUG